UUACCCGCUGAAACUNAGCAUAUCAAUAAGCGGAGGAAAAGAAACCAACAGGGAUUGCCUCAGUAACGGCGAGUGAAGCGGCAAAAGCUCAAAUUUGAAAUCUGGCACUAUUGGUGUCCGAGUUGUAAUUUGGAGAGGCAACUUCAGGUAGGGUCCAGUCUAUGUUCCUUGGAACAGGACAUCAUAGAGGGUGAGAAUCCCGUUCUUGGCUGGAUGUCCUUGCCGGUAUGUAGUGCCUUCUACGAGUCGAGUUGUUUGGGAAUGCAGCUCAAAAUGGGUGGUAAAUUUCAUCUAAAGCUAAAUAUUGGCGAGAGACCGAUAGCGCACAAGUAGAGUGAUCGAAAGAUGAAAAGCACUUUGAAAAUAGAGUCAAAAAGUACGUGAAAUUGUUGAAAGGGAAGCGCUUGAGACCAGACUCAGUCUUCGGCAAACAGCUAUCCUUCUGGGUGGUGCACUUGCCUUAGACUGGGCCAGCAUCAGUUGGGACGGUGAGAUAAAGGCCAGGGGAAUGUGACUCCACUUUAGGAGUGUUAUAGACCUUGGUGCCAUGCCACCUGCCCUGACUGUGGACCGCGCUUUGGCUAGGAUGCUGGCGUAAUGGUCUUCAGCGGCCCGUCUUGAAACACGGACCAAGGAGUCUAACAUCUAUGCGAGUGUUUGGGCUAAACACCCUCACGCGUAAUGAAAGUGAACGGAGGUGGGAAUCCCGUGAGGGCUGCACCAUCGACCGAUCCUGAUGUCUUCGGAUGGAUUUGAGUAGGAGCAUAGCUGUUGGGACCCGAAAGAUGGUGAACUAUGCCUGAAUAGGGUGAAGUCAGAGGAAACUCUGGUGGAGGCUCGCAGCGGUUCUGACGUGCAAAUCGAUCGUCAAAUUUGGGUAUAGGGNCGAAAGACUAAUCGAACCAUCUAGUAGCUGGUUCCUGCCGAA
rnacentral:rRNA from 1 species